rnacentral:rRNA from 1 species
AAAGCUCAAAUUUAAAAUCUGGCGGUCUCCGGCCGUCCGAGUUGUAAUCUAGAGAAGUGUUAUCCGCGCUGGACCGUGUACAAGUCUCCUGGAAUGGAGCGUCAUAGAGGGUGAGAAUCCCGUCUUUGACACGGACUGCCAGGGCUUUGUGAUGCGCUCUCAAAGAGUCGAGUUGUUUGGGAAUGCAGCUCAAAAUGGGUGGUAAAUUCCAUCUAAAGCUAAAUAUUGGCGAGAGACCGAUAGCGAA